GCAGGCUCAAGGCCGCGAUACUCGCCACACACUGAACGCCCUGCGUUCAAUCUUGCGAGUGGGCCAAGGUCUGAGUCUUCUAGUCCCUUCAUUCGACUCUUGCCGGGUCCGAUCCAUCAUCGGUCGAGCAUCAAACAAGAGAAGUGCUUUCUGUCCAUAUAACCCCUGAGACCCACUAAGGAGCAAUCUUCGGUGGUGAGGGCGUGGAUUGGGAAGUUUGGAAUCGAUGCGGGACAUGGGCAGUAUGUUUGUCACUCAAUCUCUCUCUUUCCUUUCUCCCUAUCGGCAUCACUCAACGCUCGACAACUGUGUGGAGGCUAUGCGAGCUUCCAACACUGGUUGUUGU
rnacentral:ncRNA from 2 species